rfam:Xenorhabdus nematophila ATCC 19061 chromosome, complete genome
AGACCACUGGCAGUAAAUAGGGUCCAGUUACAUAAAGCCCCGAGUAUCGGGGUUUUUUGUUAUUUGACAGCAGAACUACUGGGCUAAUAUAGCCCUUUUUUU